rnacentral:rRNA from 1 species
GUGGGGAAUCUUGCGCAAUGGGCGAAAGCCUGACGCAGCCAUGCCGCGUGAAUGAUGAAGGUCUUAGGAUUGUAAAAUUCUUUCACCGGGGACGAUAAUGACGGUACCCGGAGAAGAAGCCCCGGCUAACUUCGUGCCAGCAGCCGCGGUAAUACGAAGGGGGCUAGCGUUGCUCGGAAUUACUGGGCGUAAAGGGAGCGUAGGCGGACAUUUAAGUCAGGGGUGAAAUCCCGAGGCUCAACCUCGUAAUUGCCUUUGAUACUGGGUGUCUUGAGUGUGAGAGAGGUAUGUGGAACUCCGAGUGUAGAGGUGAAAUUCGUAGAUAUUCGGAAGAACACCAGUGGCGAAGGCGACACACUGGCUCAUUACUGACGCUGAGGCGCGAAAGCGUGGGGAGCAAACAGGAUUAGAUACCCGAGUAGUCC